rnacentral:snRNA from 1 species
UAGACCGAUCUUAGUACAC